GAUGAACGCUGGCGGCGUGCCUAAUACAUGCAAGUCGAGCGAACGGACGAGAAGCUUGCUUCUCUGAUGUUAGCGGCGGACGGGGGAGUAACACGUGGAUAACCUACCUAUAAGACUGGGAUAACUUCGGGAAACCGGCGCUAAUACCGGAUAAUAUUUUGAACCGCAUGGGUCAAAAGUGAAAGACGGUCUUGCGGUCACUUAUAGAUGGAUCCGCGCUGCAUUAGCUAGUUGGUAAGGUAACGGCUUACCAAGGCAACGAUGCAUGGCCGACCUGAGAGGGUGAUAGCCCACCCUGGAACGGGACCACCGUCCAGACUCCUACGGGAGGCAGCAGUAGCGAAUCUUACGCAAUGGGCGAAAGCCUGACGGAGCAACGCCGCGUGAGUGAUGAAGGUCUUCGGAUCGUAAAACUCUGUUAUUAGGGAAGAACAUAUGUGUAAGUAACUGUGCACAUCUUGACGGUAACUAAUCAGAAAGCCACGGCUAACUACGUG
rnacentral:rRNA from 1 species